UCUCAUCAUCAUCACCACCAUUCUCCUCCUCCUCCAGCCUCCACCGCUAUGAUGCUGCAUCUCAUCCCACCCGCUCUAAUAAUGUGUUUUAGUAUGUUAGUUAACGGGCAACUCGAGGACUCCAGACUGACCGAGAGAGCUUAUGUGGUUUUACAGAAGCAGAAUUUAGUCACGCUCGGGAGUGUCCUCGCAGUGCUGCUGGUGCUGAUGAUUAUCAUGGCUGUAUGUGUCUACAAACCGCUGUCUCGUCGAUGAAACUGUCUCUUGGAGGAAAUAAAGAGCGAACCUGCUGCCCGCCCGGUGCAAAGUGACACCUGCACCGAGGAGCUCAGCCCCGGUACCACAACCAGCUCCCGACGGGACCAGGCCCGAGUCUGCCCUUAUAUAUCAAUAACGAAAAACACCCAGAAUGCACAAUUAUAUAGCCUAUUAACUGGGGUCUCAUUUGUCAUGAAAUCAGGUCAAUUAAGACUGUUACACCUACCUAUUUUGAUAUGCUGUAAUUUCUUUACUUGAUUUGCUAUGAGGGACAUUGAUAUAAUAUAGGCCUAUAUACAAAUUAAAGGAAAAACCUGAAUAAAUGAGUGGAGAAACAUAACGACUGCAGAUGCUUCCACACAGGUGCACUGCAUGGUACAGUUAAGCAAUUAACAUCCAAUCAUGCUCUGUGGCAUGUAUAAAAUACUGAGCAUGCCCAGUUCAUUCUGAUGUUGUAUCAAGAUGGCAAGAGGAAAAGAUCUAAGUGACUUUGAAAGAGGGUUCAUUAUUGGGGCACGGAUGGCAGGAGAUUCAGUCACAGACUGCUCAACUGGCUAAUGUUUUAAUAGGAACAGGGACUAAAUUGACAUCUGCAUUUAGAUCUAUGGGAAAGACAUCAGUAAAUAGGCUCGGAAAUUGUGGUCGACAGAGCACAUUUGAUGACAGUGAUGCUCGUGCAUUAGUGCGAUAUGUAAGGAUAAACAGAAGAACAACUCUUCCUCAGGUGACUGAGAAUGUCAAUGCAGGACGUGAUCAGACUGUCAGCGAGAACAGUCCGUCGACAUUUACAUCGAGAGGGAUAUUAUAGUAGGGUUGCAGGGCAUAAACCCCUCAUUAAAAAGAUGAAUGCACAUUUGAGAGUUAAGUAGCGCAAAAACCAUAGGCACUGGUCUACAGAGAUGUGGAAAAAAAGUGAUACCUUAUUAUCCAUACCAUAUUAUCGACAAGUGGGCGAGUACAUGUGUGGCGUACACUAAGAGAAUGGUACAGGCCUGAAUGCUUGACCCCUACAGUGAGGGGAUCCGGUGGCGCUGCCAUGCUGUGGGGGGCAUUUUGCUGGCAUGGUUUGGGUCCCAUUAGAGGGAAGUGUCACUGCAAAUCAAUACAAAGUUGUUCUGAGUGAUCACCUUUUAGGAAACAUUUCUAUCCUGAUGGGAGUGGUCUCUUCCAGGAUGACGAUGCCCCAAUCCGUAAGGCAUGAGCGGUCUGGUGUUUGAUGAGUAUGAAAAUGAUGUGAAUCAUAUCGCCUUCGCAGUUACUAAAUCUCAACCCAAUGGAAUACCUAUGGGAGAUUUUGGACCAAAGUAUUACCAUCAUCAAAACACCAAAUGAGGGAAUAUCUUUUGGAAGAAUGGGGUUCAUCCCUCCAGUAGAGAUCCAGAGACUUGUAGAAUCAAUGUCAAGGUGCACUGAAGCUGUUCUGAUGGCACACCUUACUAAGACACUUUAGGUUGGUUUUUCCUUUAAUUUGUCACCCAUCUGUAUAUUAUUUUCCUAAUUUUACUCCCAAUAAUCUCAGCUAUUACAUAUGCGUCACAUUGUAUUUGAUUGUUUUUAUUUAGUUUUUAUUUAUUUGGACUUCACAUCUUAAGGAAAUGCUGUUAGUGGGUGUAUUUAGUUUGCUUUUAAGGCCAUGUGUUUGUCUUAUUAGCCCUUUUUAGUCAAUAAGCCUGGAGGCCUGCAACCAAAUAAAUAACCAAUAAAUAAACUAAUAGGAUUACACAGUGA